GCUGGCGCGUGCCUAUACAUGCAAGUCGAGCGAACAGACGAGGAGCUUGCUCCUCUGACGUUAGCGGCGGACGGGUGAGUAACACGUGGAUAACCUACCUAUAAGACUGGGAUAACUUCGGGAAACCGGAGCUAAUACCGGAUAAUAUAUUGAACCGCAUGGUUCAAUAGUGAAAGACGGUUUUGCUGUCACUUAUAGAUGGAUCCGCGCCGCAUUAGCUAGUUGGUAAGGUAACGGCUUACCAAGGCAACGAUGCGUAGCCGACCUGAGAGGGUGAUCGGCCACACUGGAACUGAGACACGGUCCAGACUCCUACGGGAGGCAGCAGUAGGGAAUCUUCCGCAAUGGGCGAAAGCCUGACGGAGCAACGCCGCGUGAGUGAUGAAGGUCUUCGGAUCGUAAAACUCUGUUAUUAGGGAAGAACAAAUGUGUAAGUAACUAUGCACGUCUUGACGGUACCUAAUCAGAAAGCCACGGCUAACUACGUGCCAGCAGCCGCGGUAAUACGUAGGUGGCAAGCGUUAUCCGGAAUUAUUGGGCGUAAAGCGCGCGUAGGCGGUUUUUUAAGUCUGAUGUGAAAGCCCACGGCUCAACCGUGGAGGGUCAUUGGAAACUGGAAAACUUGAGUGCAGAAGAGGAAAGUGGAAUUCCAUGUGUAGCGGUGAAAUGCGCAGAGAUAUGGAGGAACACCAGUGGCGAAGGCGACUUUCUGGUCUGUAACUGACGCUGAUGUGCGAAAGCGUGGGGAUCAAACAGGAUUAGAUACCCUGGUAGUCCACGCCGUAAACGAUGAGUGCUAAGUGUUAGGGGGUUUCCGCCCCUUAGUGCUGCAGCUAACGCAUUAAGCACUCCGCCUGGGGAGUACGACCGCAAGGUUGAAACUCAAAGGAAUUGACGGGACCCGCACAAAUCGUUGCCUUGGUAAG
rnacentral:rRNA from 1 species